rnacentral:rRNA from 1 species
ACGCUCGACACCUACGGAGGCAGCAGUGAGGAAUAUUGGUCAAUGGACGCAAGUCUGAACCAGCCAUGCCGCGUGCAGGAUGACGGCUCUAUGAGUUGUAAACUGCUUUUGUACGAGGGUAAACGCAGAUACGUGUAUCUGUCUGAAAGUAUCGUACGAAUAAGGAUCGGCUAACUCCGUACCAGCAGCCGCGGUAAUCUGAGCGGGCUGGCAAGGC